UGAUAUAGCACUGAGAAUCCUGAGAGGAAUUACUAUGAUCUUUCCAAUCUUGGUAAACAAGAAAUUAUAAAUAAAUUUAAAAAAUCCAGUACAGACUAAAUUUGCUAAAUCCACAGGAAUUCAUCUUUCUUAUUCUGGUGUGUGUGGUGUGUUUCUGGUAGUGAGGAAAGAUGUCUAUCAGAGGGCAGCAUAUCAUACCAGUACUAUUUUCUUCAACUGCAUAUAAGAAAUAUAUAUACCUCAAUUAAAAAAUAACUAUAGACCAGGCACAGUGGCUCAUGCCUGUGAUCCCAGCACUUUGCGAGGCCGAGGCAAGUGGAAUUGAAGAGCAGCCUGACUAACAUGGAAAAACCCCAACUUUACUAAAAAUACAAAAUUAUCUGGGUGUGGUGACACACCCCUGUAAUCCCAGCUACUCAGGAGACUGAGGCAGGAGAAUUGCUUGAACCUGGGAGGCAGAGGUUGCAAUGAGCCAAGAUCGUGCCACUGCACUCCAGCUUGAGCAACAAGAGCAAAACUCCAUCUCAAAAAACAAAAAAUAAAAAAAUAACUACAAAUCACCAUAAAUAACUUAUAUUUUUAUGUGCCUUUAAGGUUUAGUUGUGGAAUAUCAAUCACAUGGGUUGAGUCCAUUGGCAAGAUGGCCAAAUAGGAACAGCUUCAGUCUGCAGCUCCCAGCAAGAUUGAUGCAGAAGGUAGGUGAUGUCUGCAUUUCCAGCUGAGAUAACUGGUUCAUCUCAUUGGAACUGGGUGGACAGUGGAUGCAGCCCAUGAAGAAUGAGGUGAAGCAGGGUGGGGUGUUACCUCACUAGGGAAGUGCAAGGGGUUGGGGGAUUUCCCUUAGCCAACGGAAGCCAUGAGAGACUAUACAGGGAAGAAUGGUGCAUUCUGGCCAAGAUACUGUGCUCUUCCCAUGUUUUUAUGGCACCUGGAAUGCAGUGAAGCAGAACCAUUCACUCCCAUAGAAAGGGGGCUGAAGCCAGGGAGCCAAGUGGUCUACCUCCGCACAUCCCAGUCCCAUGGAGCCCAGCAAGCUAAGAUACACUGGCUUGAAAUUUCUUGCUGCCAGUACAGCAGUCUGAGGUUGACCUGGGACACUUGAGCUUGGUGGGGGGAGAGGCAUCAGCCAAUGCUGAGGCUUGAACAGGCAGUUUUACCCUCACAAUAUAAACAAAGCCAUAAGAAUGUUCAAGCUGGGUGGAUCCCACUGAAGCUGAGCAAGG
rnacentral:lncRNA from 1 species